AUUGAACGCUGGCGGCAGGCCUGACACAUGCAAGUCGAGCGAACCUAGCUUGCUAGGUGAGCGGCGAACGGGUGAGUAACGCGUAGGAAUCUGCCCGAUAGUGGGGGACAACGUCUCGAAAGGGACGCUAAUACCGCAUACGCCCUACGGGGGAAAGCAGGGGAUCUUCGGACCUUGCGCUAUCGGAUGAGCCUGCGUCGGAUUAGCUAGGUGGCGGGGUAAAGGCCCACCAAGGCGACGAUCCGUAGCUGGUCUGAGAGGAUGAUCAGCCACACAGGAACUGAGACACGGUCCGGACUCCUACGGGAGGCAGCAGUGGGGAAUAUUGGACAAUGGGGGCAACCCUGAUCCAGCCAUGCCGCGUGUGUGAAGAAGGCCUUCGGGUUGUAAAGCACUUUAAGGGGGGAGGAAGGUUCGUUGGCUAAUAUCCAACGGAAUUGACGCUACCCCCAGAAUAAGCACCGGCUAACUCCGUGCCAGCAGCCGCCGUAA
rnacentral:rRNA from 1 species